GAGUUUGAUCGUGGCUCAGAACGAACGCUGGCGGCAGGCCUAACACAUGCAAGUCGAACGCUCGUAGCAAUACGGGAGUGGCGCACGGGUGAGUAACGCGUGGGCACCUGCCCGGUGGUCCGGGAUAACCGCGGGAAACUGCGGCUAAUACCGAAUACGCCCUUAGGGGGAAAGAUUUAUCGCCAUCGGAUGGGCCCGCGUAGGAUUAGCUAGUUGGUGAGGUAACGGCUCACCAAGGCGACGAUCCUUAGCUGGUCUGAGAGGAUGAUCAGCCACACUGGGACUGAGACACGGCCCAGACUCCUACGGGAGGCAGCAGUGGGGAAUAUUGGACAAUGGGGGCAACCCUGAUCCAGCCAUGCCGCGUGAGUGAAGAAGGCC
rnacentral:rRNA from 1 species